rnacentral:rRNA from 1 species
UACGGGGGGGGCAAGCGUUGUUCGGAAUUACUGGGCGUAAAGGGCUCGUAGGUGGCCAACUAAGUCAGACGUGAAAUCCCUCGGCUUAACCGGGGAACUGCGUCUGAUACUGGAUGGCUUGAGUUCGGGAGAGGGAUGCGGAAUUCCAGGUGUAGCGGUGAAAUGCGUAGAUAUCUGGAGGAACACCGGUGGCGAAGGCGGCAUCCUGGACCAUGACUGACGCUGAGGAGCGAAAGCCAGGGGAGCAAACGGG